AUUGAACGCUGGCGGCAUGCCUUACACAUGCAAGUCGAACGGUAACAGGUCUUCGGAUGCUGACGAGUGGCGAACGGGUGAGUAAUACAUCGGAACGUGCCCGAGAGUGGGGGAUAACGAGGCGAAAGCUUUGCUAAUACCGCAUACGAUCUCAGGAUGAAAGCAGGGGACCGCAAGGCCUUGCGCUCACGGAGCGGCCGGUGGCAGAUUAGGUAGUUGGUGGGAUAAAAGCUUACCAAGCCCACGAUCUGUAGCUGGUCUGAGAGGACGACCAGCCAAACUGGGCCUGAGACACGGCCAAGACUCCUACGGGAGGCAGCAGUGGGGAAUUUUGGACAGUGGGCGCAAGCCUGAUCCAGCCAUGCCGCGUGCAGGAUGAAGGCCUUCGGGUUGUAAACUGCCUUUGUACGGAACGAAAAGACUCUGGUUAAUACCUGGGGUCCAUGACGGUACCGUAAGAAUAAGCACCGGCUAACUACGUGCCAGCAGCCGCCGUAAUAC
rnacentral:rRNA from 1 species